GACGAACGCUGGCGGCGUGCCUAAUACAUGCAAGUAGGACGCACAGUCUAUACCGUAGCUUGCUACACCAUAGACUGUGAGUUGCGAACGGGUGAGUAACGCGUAGGUAACCUGCCUAUUAGAGGGGGAUAACUAUUGGAAACGAUAGCUAAUACCGCAUAACAGUAUGUAACACAUGUUAGAUGCUUGAAAGAUGCAAUUGCAUCGCUAGUAGAUGGACCUGCGUUGUAUUAGCUAGUAGGUAGGGUAAUGGCCUACCUAGGCGACGAUACAUAGCCGACCUGAGAGGGUGAUCGGCCACACUGGGACUGAGACACGGCCCAGACUCCUACGGGAGGCAGCAGUAGGGAAUCUUCGGCAAUGGGGGGAACCCUGACCGAGCAACGCCGCGUGAGUGAAGAAGGUUUUCGGAUCGUAAAGCUCUGUUGUUAAGGAAGAACGAGUGUGAGAAUGGAAAGUUCAUACUGUG
rnacentral:rRNA from 1 species